rnacentral:lncRNA from 1 species
CUAUGAUCCAUCGGAUGUUGGCAAUUUGAUCUCUCAUUCCUCUGCCUUUUCUAAAACCAGCUUCAACAUCAGGAGUUCACGGUUGAUGUAUUGCUGAAGCCUGGCUUGGAGAAUUUUGAGCAUUACUUUACUAGCAUGUGAGAUGAGUGCAAUUGUGUGGUAGUUUGGGCAUUCUUUGGCAUUGCCUUUCUUUGGGAUUGGAAUGAAAACUGACCUUUUCCAGUCCUGUGGGCACUGCUGAGUUUUCCAAAUUUGCUGGCAUAUUGAGUGCAGCACUUUCACAGAGGAAUAGAAGAAAAUAAUUCAUAAAAUGCUUAUUCAAUAUAUAAAUGCUCAAGUAUGACUACACUAAAGAUCUAGUAAGGUAGCCAGAUUUUUUUUUCUUCUUUUUUGACUGUGCCGUGUGGCAUGCAGCAUCAUACUUCCCCAAUUGGAGACCCAACCUGCUCCCCCUGCAGUGGACAUGUGCAGUACUAACCAUUGGACCACCAAGGAGGUCUCAACCCGAUUGUUGGAACCUGGCUGCCAUGCUGUGAAGAGGCCCGAGCAGUCACGUAGAGGGAAUCGCUUGGAAAAGAGGCACACUGCUUUUGUUGGUAAUGGAAAACUAGUGGCUGUAAGGGCCAAAUAUGACCCCUAGGUUCUGGAGAGAAUAGAAAGAAAAGUCUUCACUUAAAGGGGUUUGUCUUCAGAGAAUUAUUUCCUUUUCGGCUUUAAUGGAGAAGAAUGUCAAAUAUGAUACUGGGACACUGACAUUCCUUAACAACAGACUUAAACAGGAAAGAAAGAGUGAACAACCGGGCAUCAAGUGUGAUGAAUGAGGAAGCUGUUAUUAUAACAAAGGGAAGAAAAGGUCUCUGUUCAUAAUGCCAAGUGUGUGCAGCGCAAAGAUCAGGAUAUUAGGUAAGAUUUAUGUAAAU